CGGCUGGCAUGGCAGUGGCAGGCACGCCCUCUGCAGCGGCCAAAAAAAUGUGACAGAAAACUCCACAACAUUAGCAGGAGCUGUGGGGGCUCGGGUGGGUGCGGGCUGCUGGGUUAGUGUAGGGGAAAAGGCCGAGGCAGCGGCAGAAGGCAGCGGUGCUGGGUGCUGGCAGCCAGGCUUCUCUGCAGCCACUGCCACACGCAGUCGGGGAGAGGCGGCCGCUGGGAAGGGAGAGGGCUCAGCAUCCCGGGUUUCGCUCUGAAGCACCCUGAGAGAUGGUGAGAAUCCUUUCCAGUGAGGCAGAGUGCCAAUAAGGUCCCAGUUCAAUGGCUGCUGUUACGAAAAAGGAUUACCCUCAGUAGGGAAUAAGCAGUGGGAGGAAAAAUGUUCCAUAGUGGCAACAAAUCCUCUAAGCAGGGACCCCGGAGCGGCUGUCCCUCUUUCAGUGCCAAGAGCAAGAGAGCUAGGAGCUGCCCCCAGCCCCUUCACCCCAGCCUAAAGUCUCACAGCAUCUCUGCCCUUCCCAAGAGAAAAGCUCUCAGUGGCUCUGUUGAAUCUUAAUGGGACCUUAAUGGCAAGGCACUAGCCUUUGAAGACCAGCGCCUAAGAAAAACCCCUUCAAUCUAGUAUGCAAGCUACUAAGUCAACUGGGAAAAGUUACCUUCACUGAAGCUCCCAUCACAAAAAGAAAUCUGAUGCUGUUUCCUCACUCAUUCACUGAUUCACAUCUCAUCAGCUCCCAGAAAUUCUCAGAACCUUCUAACAGCAAGCUGCACGAUACUCCUUCAAAGUACACUCACACUCCUUGCUGCAAACUUGAGUCCACACCAAACAGCAGUGAAGUGACAGGUCCUUCAUAGCAUGAAAGAGGACAAAAAUACAUGAGGAUAUUAGAUAAAACUCAGUUUUAAUGGAUUGAAUCUCAAACCACUGAUGAGUCAACAUUUUGCCCCUCAAGAUCUGCCAUUCUGAGAUAGAGAGCAGGCUGUAUGGUACAAUCAGUUUGAAAAGACUUCAUUUUGAAAACUUUCUGCUUUUCAUUCAACACAAGAGUUUUGGGAUUAAUUUCAUUGCACACCAAUCAGAGUGCAUUCAUGCUAAUAUUAACCUCAUCAAAUUACAAGUUCCCUUGGAUGGCAGCACAAGCGCAAAUGACAUAGGAGAGCAACAAUAAACUUCUAAUGAGAACAUCAGCUCAUUCCAAAUAGGAAUGAUUUACCCUCCACACCAGUGCAAUACACAUUUGUCCUUCAUUUUGGAGAAGAGAAGAGGGAUGGGAAGAAAGAAGUUAGGAUCACAGCAUCAACAUGAAUAUUUGCCACUGAAGAAACUAAUCUAACCGCUUAUCACAUAUACAUGUCCCUGUCAAGCACUCACC